rnacentral:tRNA from 1 species
GGAUUGCAGCUCAGUGGUAGAGCGCUUGCUUAGCAUGUGUGGGGCCCUGGAUUCAAUUCUCAGCACCG